rnacentral:rRNA from 1 species
GAGUUUGAUCUUGGCUCAGGACGAACGCUGGCGGCACGCUUAAAACAUGCAAGUCGAACGUGAAGCCCGGGCUUGCCCGGGUGGAAAGUGGCGAACGGGUGCGUAACACGUGAGCAACCUGCCCCGAAGACCGGGAUAACACCGGGAAACCGGUGCUAAUACCGGAUGCCUUCACCAUGUCGCAUGGCGAGGUGAAGAAAUGGAUUCCGCUUCGGGAUGGGCUCGCGGCCUAUCAGCUUGUUGGUGGGGUAACGGCCUACCAAGGCAACGACGGGUAGCUGGUCUGAGAGGAUGUCCAGCCACACUGGGACUGAGACACGGCCCAGACUCCUACGGGAGGCAGCAGUUAGGAAUCUUGCGCAAUGGGCGAAAGCCUGACGCAGCGAUGCCGCGUGCGGGAUGAAGGCCUUCGGGUCGUAAACCGCUUUCAGCAGGGACGAUAGUGACGGUACCUGCAGAAGAAGCCCCGGCCAACUACGUGCCAGCCGCCGCAGUAAG